ACCCAUCAGAGACCAGACCCUGCUGAACCUGAACCUGAACCUGAACCUGAACCCAGCUGUGUGUCCAUGAAGAGUGUCCAGUCCAUGGAGACACCACUACUUUAAAAAGAAGGCGAUCUGUAAGGGAGAUUAAAAUGGAGAACAGUGUGAGGGAGCGAAUUGAAAUGGAGAGGGAAAGAUGGAGGACCAGACCAGAGUCUCCUGAAUCUGGAUAUGCAUCCAGCUGUGUUUCCUUUAAGAGCAACCGGUCAAAGGAGGAUUGGGUUGAUUUUAAACGUGUUUCUGAGAAAACGGUGGAGCCUGCUGGAGUCAGAUGGUUGACACCAGGUCUGA